rnacentral:rRNA from 1 species
UACAGAGGGUGCAAACGUUGCUCGGAAUCAUUGGGCGUAAAGCGCACGUAGGCGGUCAUGUAAGUCAGGAGUGAAAGCCCUCGGCUUAACCGGGGAAGUGCUUUGAAACUGCAUGACUUGAAUACUGGAGAGGAUCGCGGAAUUCCCGGUGUAGAGGUGAAAUGCGUAGAUAUCGUUUGGAACGCCAAUGGUGAAAACAGGGUCGCUGGGGAUGAGCUGGACGCUGAGACACGAAGCCAGGGGAGCGAAACGGG